CAGUCGCCGCGGGAAUACGAAGGUCCCGAGCGUUGUUCGGAAUCACUGGGCGUAAAGGGAGCGUAGGCGGCGUGGUAAGUCAGAUGUGAAAUCCCGGGGCUCAACCCCGGAACUGCAUCCGAUACUGCCAUGCUAGAGGAUUGGAGAGGUAGCUGGAAUUCUUGGUGUAGCAGUGAAAUGCGUGGAGAUCAAGAGGAACACUCGUGGCGAAAGCGAGCUACUGGACAAUAACUGACGCUGAGGCUCGAAGGCCAGGGUAGCGAAAGGGAUUAGAUACCCCCGUAGUCCCUGUCUCUUAUAC
rnacentral:rRNA from 1 species